rnacentral:rRNA from 1 species
UACGAAGGGGGCUAGCGUUGUUCGGAAUUACUGGGCGUAAAGCGCGCGCAGGCGGUCUUCCAAGUCAGUGGUGAAAGCCCGGAGCUCAACUCCGGAACUGCCAUUGAAACUGUAAGACUUGAGGAUGAGAGAGGUGAGUGGAAUUCCCAGUGUAGAGGUGAAAUUCGUAGAUAUUGGGAAGAACACCAGUGGCGAAGGCGGCUAUCUGGACGGUUACUGACGCUAAGACGCGAAAGCGUGGGGAGCAAACAGG